GACGAACGCUGGCGGCGUGCCUAAUACAUGCAAGUAGAACGCUGAGGGAGGAGCUUGCUCUUCUGGAUGAGUUGCGAACGGGUGAGUAACGCGUAGGUAACCUGCCUGGUAGCGGGGGAUAACUAUUGGAAACGAUAGCUAAUACCGCAUAACAGUAGAUGUUGCAUGACAUUUGCUUAAAAGGUGCAAUUGCACCACUACCAGAUGGACCUGCGUUGUAUUAGCUAGUUGGUGGGGUAACGGCUCACCAAGGGGACGAUACAUAGCCGACCUGAGAGGGGGAUCGGCCAAACUGGGAAUGAGACACGGCCCAGAAUCCUAAGGGAGGCAGCAGGAGGGAAACUUCGGAAAUGGACGGAAGGCUGAACGAGGAACGCCGCGGGAGUGAAGAAGGGUCUCGGAUCGGAAAGCUCUGUUGUAAGAGAAGAAAGAGUGGGAGAGUGGAAAGUUCACACUGUGACGGUAUCUAAACAGAAAGGGACGGCUAACUACGUG
rnacentral:rRNA from 1 species